CAGCCGCCACGGGAAUACGGAGGGUGCAAGCGUUAUCCGGAUUUAUUGGGUUUAAAGGGUCCGUAGGCGGAUCUGUAAGUCAGUGGUGAAAUCUCACAGCUUAACUGUGAAACUGCCAUUGAUACUGCAGGUCUUGAGUAAAUUUGAAGUGGCUGGAAUAAGUAGUGUAGAGGUGAAAUGCAUAGAUAUUACUUAGAACACCAAUUGCGAAGGCAGGUCACUAAGAUUUAACUGACGCUGAUGGACGAAAGCGUGGGGAGCGAACAGGAUUAGAUACCCCUGUAGUCCCUGUCUCUUAUAC
rnacentral:rRNA from 1 species